rnacentral:misc_RNA from 1 species
GGUGUAAUUCCGGCGGAUUUGUUUACUUCACUUCAUGAUUUGCGUAAUUUGUACCUUCAAAAUAAUCUAUUUUCCGGUCCGAUUCCUGAUUCAAUCUUCUCUCUUACCAAUCUUGUCCGGCUUAAUCUUGCUCAUAACAAUUUCUCCGGUUCAAUCCCGGAAUCUUUCAACAAUUUGACUAGUUUGGGUACACUUUACUUGCA